AUCCAAAUUUCUCAUCCAAAGCCUGUGAUUUCUCCAUCUUAAUUUUUUAUUCUGAUCCAUCUUCGUACCUCCUUCUUCUUCUUCUUCUUCUUCUUCCGUGAGGUGAGUAGGUGACUGCUGAAUUUUUGUUAUCCGUUGUUCUCUGUUUACUUACUUGGGUCCUUUCUUGAUUUGUUUUUUUUUAUCUUGUGGUUCAUGUUGGGAGCUUGGGCCUUGGGGUAUUCAUCUAUACAAUUCGUUUUCUUCCUUUAAUAACUGUCAAAAGGUAAUGAAAGGUCAUUUCAUUUUCACUUAUGCUUUUUUGGCUGAUAAUAUUUUUUACAACAGGUAGUACCUUCAGUUGUAAAUGUUGCUUUCUCUUCUGUUAAUUAUCCAGUAGACUAGUACCUCCACCGCUAUUAAAGAUUCUUAUCCAAUCAGGGCUAUAUUGGGCGAGUAUUCUGGUGCUGUUCUAGGAGUAUUAUCUGGGGUACUGUAUGGAAGGAGGGGCCAUGUUUGGAAAAAGGGUCCACCAGGCACUGGAAAAACACAAACUAUCCUUAGGCUUCUUAGUGCCAUUUUGCAUGCAACUCCUGCUAGAAUACACUCCAACAGGGCUCGAUAUAUGCCCCAAAACCCAUUUAUCAUUGCUACUGAGACAGUGCUGAUUGCUGAAGUUUAUGUUUUUUACUACAGUAAACAUCCAUCUAAGCCUCCUCGAGAUGGUGCAUGUUAUCCAGAUUUGAGGUUAAGAGGCCACAGCACAAAGGGUUGUCGUUUGUUAUUGAAAUAACUUAAGGAUUUUUAAAGAUCUAACUAGAAUGUCUUCAAUUCUGGAACUUUUGUCCAGUUGGUAUACAAUUUCUGCCCAAUUUAUUUUAAGAAUAUUUUAUGUUGUUGUUACU